ensembl:snRNA U6 U6 spliceosomal RNA
GUACUCACUUUGGCAGCACAUACUAAGAUCAAAAUUAUACAGAGAUUCUCAUGGCCCCUUUACAAGGGUGACAUGCAAAUUUAUGAAAUGUUCCACAAUGAA